UACGUAGGGUGCAAGCGUUAAUCGGAAUUACUGGGCGUAAAGCGUGCGCAGGCGGUUAUGUAAGACCGGUGUGAAAUCCCCGGGCUUAACCUGGGAACUGCAUUUGUGACUGCAUAGCUAGAGUACGGUAGAGGGGGAUGGAAUUCCGCGUGUAGCAGUGAAAUGCGUAGAUAUGCGGAGGAACACCGAUGGCGAAGGCAAUCCCCUGGACCUGUACUGACGCUCAUGCACGAAAGCGUGGGGAUCAAACAGG
rnacentral:rRNA from 1 species